ensembl:piRNA 21ur-1212 ncRNA
UCCAUAAUUAUGUAGUUUUAU